GAUGAACGCUGGCGGCGUGCCUAAUACAUGCAAGUCGAGCGAACAGAUGAGGAGCUUGCUCCUCUGACUUUAGCAGCGGACGGGUGAGUAACACGUGGAUAACCUACCUAUAAGACUGGGAUAACUUCGGGAAACCGGAGCUAAUACCGGAUAAUAUAUUGAACCGCAUGGUUCAAUAGUGAAAGACGGUUUUGCUGUCACUUAUAGAUUGAUCCGCGCCGCAUUAGCUAGUUGGUAAGGUAACGGCUUACCAAGGCAACGAUGCGUAGCCGACCUGAGGGGGUGAUCGGCCACACUGGAACUGAGACACGGUCCAGACUCCUACGGGAGGCAGCAGUAGGGAAUCUUCCGCAAUGGGCGAAAGCCUGACGGAGCAACGCCGCGUGAGGGAUGAAGGUCUUCGGAUCGUAAAACUCUGUUAUUAGGGAAGAACAAAUGUGUAAGUAACUAUGCACGUCUUGGCGGUACCUAAUCAGAAAGCCACGGCUAACUACGUG
rnacentral:rRNA from 1 species